UUUUUUCCCUCAUGUAAGUAAUACCAUGAAGUUCCUGACUUUGGCUUAUUUUACUUAGCAUAAUGCCUGCCAGUUUCAUUCAUGGUGUCUGAAGAAGAAGGAUUCUGGUUUUGUUUGUUUAAAGCUGAAGAUAUUCCAUAAUAUAGAUAUAACAGUUUCUUUGUUCAUUCCUCUUUGAGGAAUACGUGGGUUCUUUUCUUAUCUUGGCUAUUGUAAAUUAUGCUGCAGUGAACAUGGUACUGCAAAUAUCUCUUCAAAGACAGAGAAAGAGAAAUAGAGUGUGAGCAGGGUGAGGGACAGGAGUAGACUUCCUGAUGACUGCAGAGACAGGAUGUGGGGCUCCAUCUAAAGACCUUAAGAUCAUGACUUGAGCCAAAACCAAGACUUGGGGGCUUAACCAACUUAGCCACCCAGAGGCCCUGAGGUGGUGAAAAUUUGAAUUUCUAAAUUGUAUGCAAUUAAACAUAGGAAUUCCAACCACUAUUCCAAUUGUGAGGUAAGAAA